ACAUGAAGCUGGAAUCGCUAGUAAUCGCGGAUCAGAAUGCCGCGGUGAAUACGUUCCCGGGUCUUGUACACACCGCCCGUCACACCAUGGGAGUCGGAAAUGCCCGAAGUCUGUGACCCAACCUACGGGAGGGAGCAGCCGAAGGCAGGUCGGAUGGCUGGGGUGAAGUCGUAACAAGGUAAC
rnacentral:rRNA from 1 species